rnacentral:rRNA from 1 species
AUGGCAUCGGCAGCGUUUAAUGGGAGCGCCAUAGAUUCCACUGCUGCUCGCUGCAAACUAUUCAUCAGUUCAUUGGUCACGACAGUUGUUGCGGUGAUAAGAAACCCAACUCAUCCCCCGCCUAGCCAUAUUGAGUGCCCAAACUGCAAAUACCACAUUGAUUGGCCAGGACUCCCCGCUGGUGUUAAAUUUGAUCCAACCGGUCUCGAACUGCUUGAACAUUUAGAAGGAAAAGUUGGCAGGGUACCGUCCCAUGACCUAAUAGAUGAUUUUAUUCCAACCAUAGAGGAGGCUGAAGGAAUCUGCUAUACACAUCCUAAAAAUCUCCCUGGUACCAAGAUGGAUGGGAGAAACAAUCAUUUCUUCCACAAAAUAUCAAAUGCAUACGAUGUUGGCCAGCGCAAGCGUCGCAAGAUUAGCAACAGUGACCAUGUUGUUUGUGAUGUGCAUUUCAGAUGGCACAAAACUGGAAAAUCCAAAGAAAUCUUAGAUAAUAACGGUGUCAUAAAAGGGUGGAAGAAAAUAUUGGUUCUUAACAUGCAUUCUAGGAAAGACGGUAUCACCUCGCGUACAAAAACUAAUUGGACGAUGCAUCAGUAUCACCUUGGGGUAGAUCAAGAUGAAAAGCACGGGGAGCUUGUUGUUUCCAAAGUCUUUUAUCAGUCAAAGAAAGAUGAGCAGCCUGUAAUGUGCCCUGUUAAUGAAGAAUCUGAUCCAUUUGCUGGGGAAAUCGAUCCUACAACCCCAAUGACAUACCCUCCGUAG